rnacentral:rRNA from 1 species
CCUACGGGAGGCUGCAGUGGGGAAUAUUGGACAAUGGGCGAAAGCCUGAUCCAGCCAUGCCGCGUGUGUGAAGAAGGCCUUCGGGUUGUAAAGCACUUUCAGUGGGGAAGAAAGCCUUGGGGCUAAUACCCUCGAGGAAGGACAUCACCCACAGAAGAAGCACCGGCUAACUCCGUGCCAGCAGCCGCGGUAAUACGGAGGGUGCGAGCGUUAAUCGGAAUUACUGGGCGUAAAGCGCGCGUAGGCGGUCUGAUAAGCCGGUUGUGAAAGCCCCGGGCUCAACCUGGGAACGGCAUCCGGAACUGUCAGGCUAGAGUGCAGGAGAGGAAGGUAGAAUUCCCGGUGUAGCGGUGAAAUGCGUAGAGAUCGGGAGGAAUACCAGUGGCGAAGGCGGCCUUCUGGACUGACACUGACGCUGAGGUGCGAAAGUGUGGGUAGCAAACAGGAUUAGAUACCCCGGUAGUC